rnacentral:rRNA from 1 species
UACGUAGGGGGCAAGCGUUGUCCGGAAUCAUUGGGCGUAAAGAGCGCGUAGGCGGUUAGUUAAGUCUGGCGUGAAAGCUCUCGGCUAAACCGGGAGAGGUCGUUGGAUACUGGCAAACUAGAGGACGGUAGAGGCGUGUGGAAUUCCGGGUGUAGUGGUGAAAUGCGUAGAGAUCCGGAGGAACACCAGUGGCGAAGGCGACACGCUGGGCCGUACCUGACGCUAAAGCGCGACAGCAUGGGGAGCAAACGGG